rnacentral:rRNA from 1 species
UACGGGGGGGGUAAGCGUUGUUCGGAAUUACUGGGCGUAAAGGGCUCGUAGGCGGCCAACUAAGUCGGACGUGAAAUCCCUCAGCUUAACUGGGGAACUGCGUCCGAUACUGGAUGGCUUGGAUUUGGGAGAGGGAUGCGGAAUUCCAGGUGUAGCGGUGAAAUGCGUAGAUAUCUGGAGGAAAACCGAUGGCGAAGGCGGCAUCCUGGACCGGCAUUGACGCUGAGUGAGCGAAAGCCAGGGGAGCAAACGGG